rnacentral:rRNA from 1 species
GACGAACGCUGGCGGCGUGCCUAAUACAUGCAAGUUGAGCGCUGAAGGUUGGUACUUGUACCAACUGGAUGAGCAGCGAACGGGUGAGUAACGCGUGGGGAAUCUGCCUUUGAGCGGGGGACAACAUUUGGAAACGAAUGCUAAUACCGCAUAAAAACUUUAAACACAAGUUUUAAGUUUGAAAGAUGCAAUUGCAUCACUCAAAGAUGAUCCCGCGUUGUAUUAGCUAGUUGGUGAGGUAAAGGCUCACCAAGGCGAUGAUACAUAGCCGACCUGAGAGGGGGAACGGCCACAUUGGGGAUGAGAAACAGCCCAAACUCCUACAGGAGGCAGCAGUAGGGAAUCUUCGGCAAUGGACGAAAGUCAGAACGAGCAACGCCGCGUGAGUGGAGAAGGUUUUCGGAUCGUAAAACUCUGUUGGUAGAGAAGAACGUUGGUGGGAGUGAAAAGCUCAUCAAGUGACGGUAACUACCCAGAAAGGGACGGCUAACUACGUG